rnacentral:rRNA from 1 species
AACGAACGCUGGCGGCAGGCUUAACACAUGCAAGUCGAGCGCCCCGCAAGGGGAGCGGCAGACGGGUGAGUAACGCGUGGGAAUCUACCCAUCUCUACGGAAUAACGCAUGGAAACGUGUGCUAAUACCGUAUACGUCCUUCGGGAGAAAGAUUUAUCGGAGAUGGAUGAGCCCGCGUUGGAUUAGCUAGUUGGUGGGGUAAAGGCCUACCAAGGCGACGAUCCAUAGCAGGUCUGAGAGGAUGAUCAGCCACACUGGGACUGAGACACGGCCCAGACUCCUACGGGAGGCAGCAGUGGGGAAUAUUGGACAAUGGGCGCAAGCCAGAUCCAGCCAUGCCGCGUGUGUGAUGAAGGCCCUAGGGUUGUAAAGCUCUUUCACCGGUGAAGAUAAUGACGGUAACCGGAGAAGAAGCCCCGGCUAACUUCGUGCCAGCCGCCGCGGUAACAC